CAUCCCUACACCCAUCCUGAAACACUCCCGUAACGCACCGUUGACAUCGACUGUCAACGCGACAGUUCACUACCACUGCAUCACUGAUCGUCGACCACCACCACCAUCACGGACGAACGGUAAAAACUACCGGACAACGAGUCGACGAGCUCUCUUGGAGGGACCAUUUAAGUGGCCGAAGUAAGAGUCGCGUGUGCAAUUUCGUACUGUCUCAAAUUUUGAGCAGAAAAGUGACGUCGAGUGUUCCUUAGCGGACGGCCGAAAAACUAAUCACCGGUGAGCCCUUUCCCACCAUUUUGGCCCAGUUGCUGCAGCCAAAAGGAAGCCAGUGCGUGAAGAAGCCAUUCGCGUACACGCGGAGUCACCGAAGAGCAACGCCAUCGCUUGGCUCGGGAAAAAGUAGCCUUUACCCCGGCGCACGGAAAGUGUAUUGUCCGUCAUUGAGUGAACCUACGGAGGAUAAAUGAGCGGUGUGCCAUUUUUUCACCGUCGAAAAGUUUGGAGGUUACCUUUGACCGUUUACCAUCGUCAAGAACGGCCCCUCAAAUCUCCAGGAUUCUGGAAUCGACGCGUUCCGCAGCGGUGUUCCGACAACCCUCUGACCAACGAGAAAAGGCCCGGGAGAAUGGAGUGUCGAAGCCUAACAGUCGCCAAAGCCAGUACCGCUGGUCGAUCACCGUCGUCGGGAAGUGAAAUGGUAUGUCAUUAAAUUCCUACCUUACUCCUCAGAAUGAGAACAUGACCAAAUAAUGUUAUUAAUGAGAAUAUAAUAUGUAAAUCCAACCUA